UCUAAAAAGCCUUGGGAAUAAGAGGGGGGCAAGACUGGUGUCAGCCGCCGCGGUAACACCAGCCCCUCGAGUGGUGGGGAUGAUUAUUGGGCCUAAAGCGUCCGUAGCCUGCCGUAUAAGUUUUCCGUUAAAUCCAGCGUCUCAAGCGUUGGACUGCGGGAAAUACUGUACGGCUAGAGAGUGGGAGAGGUCAGCGGUAUUCUGGGGGUAGGGGCGAAAUCCUUUGAUCCCCGGAGGACCAUCAGUGGCGAAGGCUUCUGACUAGAACACGUCUGACGGUCAGGGACGAAAGCUGGGGUAGCGAACCGGAUUAGAUACCCGGGUAGUCCCAGCCGUAAACGAUGCAUGCUAGGUGUUGGGUUGGCCACGAGCCAUCCCAGUGCCGCAGGGAAGCCGUUAAGCAUGCCGCCUGGGAAGUACGAUCGCAAGGUUGAAACUUAAAGGAAUUGGCGGGGGAGCAC
rnacentral:rRNA from 1 species